AGCAUUUGGUAUCUGUGCUCCACUUAAGCCAGCUACCACAGGUUAGAAAGCCUGAGAAACUUCUAACCUUCGAAAGAACCCACGCCUGAGAACGUGGGUUUUUUCGU
rnacentral:antisense_RNA from 3 species